rnacentral:lncRNA from 10 species
GCUUUUUAUUUCAUUUAUUGAGUUCUUCCAUUCCAGGAUUAUGUACUUUUGUUAUCUUAUAUGUCUUAAGUCACACUGAGUUUCUUUAAUGUCAUUUUGAUUUUUUUGUUAGGCAUUUCAAAAUUUGGGGGGAGCAUCUGUUACUGAAGAAUUAUUGUUUUCCUUUGAAGGUGUCAUGUUUUCUUGCUUUUCAAUGUUUUUUGUAUCGUUAUAUUUAUAUCUGUACAUCUGAUGUCACUUCUUCCUAUUUUAUGCAUUGGCUUUUGUAGGGAAAGACUUUUUCCUGUAGAUGUAGCUAUAGUGUUGGUUGGAUAGGGUGCUUUGGCUUUGAUUCUGGGUGAGUGCAGUAGUAUAGUCUCCCUGUGAUUUCUUCAGCUUUAAUGAGCAUUAGCGGUGUCUGAGAGUCCCUCAGUGGCUUAGACUGUGGUUGUUAAUGAAGGCUGUAGUAGGCUUUUCUGGGGACUGUGACUCCAGGUAGACCAGUGCUCAGGCACUAGUAGUUGUGCCAGUAGGCAGGGCAUGCCUUUCCUCAGGCCCCUAGAUAGUACAUGUGGGCGCCAGCAGGCAUAGGCAGAGCAUAACAGUACUUAAGGCCCCAGAUGAAAUGCACAGGCACCAACAGCAGGCAGAACAGGCCUGUCGUCAGGCCCUCUGAUGGUGUAUGCAGGCAAUGGCAGCAGCGUGCUAGUUGAGUCAGUCCUCAGGCCCUUAGAUGGCAUGCUUAGGCACAGUUGACAGUGGCAGUGGGCAGAGCAGGCUUGUCCUUAGGACCCUAGAUAAUGUGUGCUGGUGGCAGUGGUGGGCAGGGCAGGCUUCUCUCCAAGCCCACCUCUGGAGUUUGCAGGUGCUGGUGGCAGGCAGGUGGGUUGACCUCCUGGCACUAUGUGCACAGGUGACAGCAGCAGUAGGUGGGUUAGACCCUUUUCAAUCCCACUUUAGAGCUCUUCAGUUAGAAGUUAGUUUAUGGUGCUCCUUUUUCUAACCGUAAGUCAUUAUAAAAUACAGGUUUAUCAGUUAUUUUUUGGCAUAUUUAACACAUUUAAAUGGGAUGAACAGCUUUUUAGUUUAUAAUAGGAAGCUAAUAAAAAUCAAAUCUAAUUUGUUUCAUUUUGUUUUGUUUUUUGAGACAGAGUCUUGCUCUGUCACCCAGGCUGGACGCAGUGGAGGUUGUAGUGAGCCAAGAUUGCACCACGGCACGCUAGCCUGGGUGACACAGCAAGACUCCAUCUCAAAAAAAAAAAAAAAUUACUUUCAACAAGGCAUAUAGUCUCUUGUAAUAUAUAUGUAUACUAUUACAUUGUACAGAAUCUGUACUUAUGUUUGGUGUGUAAUAUACCAAUUAGUUUUAUAUAAUAUCCUCAUAAGCUAUUCUAAUUUUUGAGAGAAACACAAAAAGUUAUAGAUUGAUAGUCUGUAUAAUAUUAGACAAAAUAGUAAGCUUUAUAAAAAGUUAUUUUUGGUAAAUGGUAAGGAAUUUGGGGUGGAAUGUGAUGAGAUUAAAAUGUAGCUUUGGUAUAACUUCAUGUGUAUUUCAAAAUAUACUGAACGUCAACAUGAUUUGAAUAAAGAAAAUGUAUUUUCUACUUGAA